rnacentral:rRNA from 1 species
UACAGAGGUCCCAAGCGUUGUUCGGAUUCACUGGGCGUAAAGAGCGCGCAGGCGGUCGUUCAAGUCGCGUGUGAAAGCCCCCGGCUCAACUGGGGAGGGUCACGCGAUACUGAUCGACUCGAAGGCAGGAGAGGGUAGUGGAAUUCCCGGUGUAGUGGUGAAAUGCGUAGAUAUCGGGAGGAACACCAGUGGCGAAGGCGACUACCUGGCCUGUUUCUUGACGCUGAGGCGCGAAAGCUAGGGGAGCAAACGGG